UACAGGGGGUGCUAGCGUUGUUCGGAGUUACUGGGCGUAAAGGGCGCGUAGGCGGCUCGACAAGUCAGAUGUGAAAUUUCGGGGCUUAACUCCGAACGUGCAUUUGAAACUGUCAGGCUAGAGUACAUUAGAGGUUGGUGGAAUUCCCAGUGUAGAGGUGAAAUUCGUAGAUAUUGGGAGGAACACCGGUGGCGAAGGCGGCCAACUGGGAUGUAACUGACGCUGAGGCGCGAAAGCGUGGGGAUCAAACAGG
rnacentral:rRNA from 1 species